GCCGGGGUGGCGGAACUGGCAGACGCACAGGACUUAAAAUCCUGCGAUUGGUAACGAUUCGUACCCGGUUCGAUUCCGGUCCUCGGCA
rnacentral:tRNA from 1 species